rnacentral:misc_RNA from 1 species
GAUGAAGAACGUAGCGAAAUGCGAUAAGUAGUGUGAAUUGCAGAAUUCAGUGAAUCAUCGAAUCUUUGAACGCACAUUGCGCCCCUUGGUAUUCCAUGGGGCAUGCCUGUUCGAGCGUCAUUUGUACCUUCAAGCUCUGCUUGGUGUUGGGUGUUUGUCUCGCCUCUGCGUGUAGACUCGCCUCAAAACAAUUGGCAGCCGGCGUAUUGAUUUCGGAGCGCAGUACAUCUCGCGCUUUGCACUCAUAACGACGACGUCCAAAAGCACAUUUUUACACUCUUGACCUCGGAUCAGGUAGGGAUACCCGCUGAACUUAAGCAUAUCAAUAAGCGGAGGA